ensembl:lncRNA
GGGAGUUGUAAUGGGUGGGCUUGUGCCUCUUGAGGGCAGAGGAAGGUUGUAAGGCAGCUUGUGCAUGCUAACACUUUUGAGUUUGUCCACCGUGGAUAGAUCAAGCAUAGUGCUUUGUAACUCAGCCUUGAUAACUUCGUUGGCGUCAAGGUGAGAGAACAAGAAGGAAAUAACAGGAAAACUGGCAAGGAAAGCAGUGCGAGGCUGAGAAUUUUCUUAGUCUGAAAAACUGGAGCUGGUUCCCUGGAAACUAGAGACUAAGCACUUAUACAGAGAACAGAACACACAAUGUCGCCAUCAACUGCGUGCCUGCUUUCCUCCACCUGUGUCAAGCUCCAAAUGAUGACAGAAGGCCAUGAGCAAUUUUUGCUACUAAGAGAUACUGACAAAGAGAGGAAGAAGGUGAAGAACUGGGCCACUCCUAAGACUGUUACUUUUCUGGUUGCAAAGCAAUAUAAUUAAGACAGAUUCCAUUUUGCUUGCUGGAUGGUGAAAACUCAUGGGAAGCAAAAUUCACAUCACAGCUUUCUGGCAAGCUUUAAACAAAAUGCAUCUAAAAAAAAAAUAAAGACAAGAGCUUGUAAUACUCUUCUUAGCAGUGUGAAGAGCAGAGUCUGAUCCUGCUUUCACAGCAGGAAUUUGUUCAGAGUUUUGUUUAAUUAUUGUCAGGAGCUGCAGGGAUGUUCUUUCAGAGAAUUAGCAAAAG